rnacentral:rRNA from 1 species
GUGGGGAAUAUUGCACAAUGGGCGCAAGCCUGAUGCAGCGACGCCGCGUGAGGGAUGACGGCCUUCGGGUUGUAAACCUCUUUCGCCAGGGACGAAGGGUGAUACUGACGGUACCUGGAGAAGAAGCACCGGCUAACUACGUGCCAGCAGCCGCGGUAAUACGUAGGGUGCGAGCGUUGUCCGGAAUUAUUGGGCGUAAAGAGCUCGUAGGCGGUGUGUCGCGUCUGCCGUGGAAACCGGGGGCUUAACUCUCGGCGUGCGGUGGAUACGGGCAUCACUUGAGUUCGGCAGGGGAGACUGGAAUUCCUGGUGUAGCGGUGGAAUGCGCAGAUAUCAGGAGGAACACCGGUGGCGAAGGCGGGUCUCUGGGCCGAUACUGACGCUGAGGAGCGAAAGCGUGGGGAGCGAACAGGAUUAGAAACCCUGGUAGUCC